rnacentral:rRNA from 1 species
GACGAACGCUGGCGGCGUGCUUAACACAUGCAAGUCGAACGGUGAAAGAGAGCUUGCUCUCUGGAUCAGUGGCGAACGGGUGAGUAACACGUGAGUAACCUGCCCCAGACUCUGGAAUAACCCCGGGAAACCGGAGCUAAUACCGGAUACGAGACGGAGAGGCAUCUCUACCGUCUGGAAAGUUUCUCGGUCUGGGAUGGACUCGCGGCCUAUCAGCUUGUUGGUGAGGUAAUGGCUCACCAAGGCGACGACGGGUAGCCGGCCUGAGAGGGCGACCGGCCACACUGGGACUGAGACACGGCCCAGACUCCUACGGGAGGCAGCAGUGGGGAAUAUUGCACAAUGGGCGAAAGCCUGAUGCAGCGACGCCGCGUGAGGGAUGACGGCCUUCGGGUUGUAAACCUCUUUCAGUAGGGAAGAAGCGAAAGUGACGGUACCUACAAAAGAAGCACCGGCUAACUACGUG